AAUCUGCAGCACAAAUGUUGAAUAAAUUUUUAUAUAUUUACUUUGAUGAUAUGUUUUUUUAAUAUGUUUUCAAUAUAUGUUUUAGUGAUGCAUCCCGAGCCAUUUCUGAUUUAAGAUCUCAUAGUAGACUGAAAGUGAAAAUAGGAGGCAAAAAGGGAACUUCAAAUGCAGAGCAAAGCAGAAUUAUUUUGUGCCCUGUAUGUUCAUUUGGAUUCACUGAUCUUAAAGCUGCUGAAAAUCAUGUAAACAGUUGUAUUGAUAAAGCACAAUAGACAGAAUGUUCUUACCAUCUCCAUUAUUUUAUUAUUAAUUAAGUAAUCUUUCUAAAAGAUAUGUAUUAUGUAUACGUUUUAUUUUAUACUAGCUUCCAUUGCCUUUUAAUUAUUAUGGUAAAAAUAUAUUUUCAUAUCAGUUACUAUGUAUUUUUAAAGGGAUUAUAGUGUUUAGGAAGAACAUAACAAAAAAUAUUUUUGUUUAUUUUAUUGAACAAGUCUUUCCUUGUAAUGUAUUUAGAGAAAUAUAAAAGAGGUAUAAACUUAAGCAUUUUAAUAACCUCAUUGUUAUUGUUAAAUGCUAAAACAAAAAUGUAUUUGUUUUCUUGAAGAAUCAGUUGUUGUUUUUUCAUGAAUUUAUAAAUGAACUUUUGUGCCAAAUAAAUAAUUUAUAAUAUUCUUUUUGACUAUAAAUUUGAACACAUAAACAGAAUUUUGUACAACGGUUUACAGAAUUUUGAGUAUUUAAAAUUAUUAAAAAUAAAGUAUUAAGUAAAUUUUCAAUAUUAAAUCUAAAUAAGCCCUGCUUCAUGCAUAUUUAAAAGUUGUAUAAUCCUUCCAGUUGCUUUUGCAUUAUGCAAAAAUGCCUUUGUGCUUUAUAUGCCGAUGUUCAUGUAAAAUAUUCACCUAUUCUUUGCAGUUUGUAAAAUAAUGCCAUUUGAUUAAUGAUUUAUAGCUUGAUUCAUGUGUAAUAAACAUUAUGUAAUACUUUACUUUUGCUAUUAAAAUGUGAACACAAAACUUGGAAU